UGGCCUAGCUGCUUCUCUACACCUGUCCUGGAAUUGGGAGGCUGAGGUGAAUUUUCUUGUUGGGGUACAGGUGUUGAAACACCCCAUCCCCUGUCACCUUAAAUCGUAAAAGUCAUACCAAGAAGCACCUUGUGAAAAUCUUGCUCCCGCCUUGAGCUGAGACAGCCGAGCCCAGGAAACUCUAGGGCAGACAAAGCAAAACAAGAAGCCAGGGGAAGGAGUGCAAGCCCGUAAGCUGGUUCAUUCUUGCUGGAUAAAUGGCACCCACUCCCCAAAGGGAAAAGGUACAAAAAGAAUUCAGUGAAGCAAGAAGCAGGUAGUAAAGGCAGGGAAUCUUACCUCCUUUGAGCCCAGAGAAAAGCCUUUUUUACAGACUCAAGAAGAUAGGGUGGGGAAGAGUGGGCUACCUGCCAAAGCAAUGACCCAUGCUGUGACUGUCACCUGGAGAACCUGAGGCGACUCAGAUGUCCCCACGUCCCCUCAACCACUGCCUGCCGGGGGAGGGCCACAGAGCUUUCCAAGCUCCUCGGGUUUGCUGAGCCAUGUGCCCACAGCUAUUAGCUGCACACCAGACGUUCCGCUUUGUGGGGACCCAAGGAGGUGGCCUCUCCAAACACCUGGACACUUCACAGAAGAGACAGAGAGAGUGAGCGAGAGAGGCAGAGACACAGGCAGAGGGAGAAGCAGGCUCCAUGCAGGGAGCCCGACGUGGGACUCGAUCCAGGGUCUCCAGGAUCACGCCCUAGGCUGCAGGCAGCGCUAAACCUCUGCGCCACCGGGGCUGUGAGGGCUGGGCUUUUGAAACACAAAAUACAAGAAUUGCUCUCUGGAUUUAUCAUUACUCCCUCAGUGCCUCACUUGCCUUCUCCAUCAAGGGGAAUCAUGAGAUACAAGAAGUGCUGGGGAAAAGCACAUCAGCCAAUAUCCCCAAAUAUUAUCCCUCUGC